rnacentral:misc_RNA from 1 species
GCAAACUUGGUCAUUUAGAGGAAGUAAAAGUCGUAACAAGGUCUCCGUUGGUGAACCAGCGGAGGGAUCAUUAUUGAGUUUACUGAACUCCAAACCUUUGUGAACAUACCUAUUGUUGCUUCGGCGGUUUCGUCCCGGGCGCGCCUAGGCGUGAUCCGGAGUGAGGCGUCCGCCGGGGGAUUCAAACUCUUGUUUUUAAGUGGACUUCUGAGUGGUAUAAGCAAAUGAAUAAAACUUUCAGCAACGGAUCUCUUGGUUCUGGCAUCGAUGAAGAACGCAGC